rnacentral:misc_RNA from 1 species
GAUGAAGAACGUAGCGAAAUGCGAUAAGUAGUGUGAAUUGCAGAAUUCAGUGAAUCAUCGAAUCUUUGAACGCACAUUGCGCCCCAUGGUAUUCCGUGGGGCAUGCCUGUUCGAGCGUCAUUUACCCCCUCAAGCUCCGCUUGGUGUUGGGCGUCUGUCCCGCUUCGCGCGCGGACUCGCCCCAAAGGUAUUGGCAGCGGUCGUGCCAGCUUCUCGCGCAGCACAUUGCGCUUCUCGAGGCACCGGUGGGCCCGCGUCCAUCAAGCUCACCCCCCCAGUUUGACCUCGGAUCAGGUAGGGAUACCCGCUGAACUUAAGCAUAUCAACAAGCGGAGGA